UACGAAGGGUGCAAGCGUUGUUCGGAUUUACUGGGCGUAAAGCGUCCGUAGGUGGUUUGUUAAGCCAGGGGUGAAAUCCCAGGGCCCAACACUGGAACUGCCUUUGAUACUGGCAAGCUGGAGCACGGAAGAGGAAGAUAGAAUUUGUGGUGUAGGGGUGAAAUCCGUAGAUAUCACAAGGAAUACCAAUGGCGAAGGCAGUCUUCUGGUCCGUUGCUGACACUGAUGGACGAAAGCGUGGGGAGCAAACAGAAUUAGAUACUCUGGUAGUCCACGCCCUAAACUAUGCAUGCUUGUUGUUAAGCUCCUUCGGGGGCCUAGUGACGAAGCUAACGCGUUAAGCAUGCCGCCUGGGGAGUACGAUCGCAAGAUUAAA
rnacentral:rRNA from 1 species